GGGCCGUUGGCGCAGUUGGUAGCGCGUUUGCAUGGCAUGCAAAAGGUCACCGGUUCAAAUCCGGUACGGUCCA
rnacentral:tRNA from 1 species